UACGAACCGUACGAACGUUAUUCGGAAUUACUGGGCUUAAAGAGUUCGUAGGCGGCUUGGAAAGUGGGGUGUGAAAGCCCUCGGCUCAACCGAGGAAUUGCGCUCCAAACUACCGAGCUUGAGUAGGCUAGAGGUGAGCAGAACUGAUGGUGGAGCGGUGAAAUGCGUUGAUAUCAUCAGGAAUACCGGAGGCGAAGGCGGCUCACUGGGACCUAACUGACGCUGAGGAACGAAAGCUAGGGGAGCAAACGGG
rnacentral:rRNA from 1 species